rnacentral:rRNA from 1 species
AUUGAACGCUGGCGGCAGGCCUAACACAUGCAAGUCGAGCGAGCGGAGGACGGGUGAGUAAUGCCGGGGAAUUGCCCAGUCGAGGGGGAUAACAGUUGGAAACGACUGCUAAUACCGCAUACGAUUGGAUUGCCCAGGUGGGAUUAUCUAGUUGGUGAGGUAAUGGCUCAACAGGGCGACGAACCCUAGUGGGUCUGAGAGGAUGAUCGUCCACACUGGAACUGAGACACGGUCCAGACUCCUACGGGAGGCAGCAUUGGGUAAUAUUGCACAAGGGGGGAAACCCUGAUGCAGCCAUGCCGCGUGUGUGAAGAAGGCCUUCGGGUUGUAAAGCACAUUCAGCGAGGAGGCGUUACUCGCAGAAGAAGCACCGGCUAACUCCGUGCCAGCAGCCGCGGUAAUUC